rnacentral:rRNA from 1 species
ACAGUGCGGGUUAUACGCUAUGAUAGGAUUUCUCUGAUCUUCCAGGGUGGUUCCUAUCUUGGCGUAUAACUUUGUGAAAACGUUCCACCUAUCGUAAUGUAGUUGUAAUGUAUUAUCUACCCCUAUGUAUGUUCUCCAUAUGUUACGGUGUGCUUAUGUUGUAGUGUUAUGUAUUCUCGUAGUAGGCUGAUGCCUACUUAGUGUUUGUUUUUGAGUUUGCUGUAGGUGGGACGAUCGGGUCCGACGGCUGGACCUUGGAUAGAGGACUAGUUUCUUCUUCGUCUUCUUCUUGAGGUUUUGUUCGUUCGUAGCGAGAACGCAGUACUAGUAGCGUAUUGGACAUGGACGUUGACAAUAGGACGUUCCUUCUUCUUGCUCAGGUGCUUCUUCUGUUUGCC